rnacentral:rRNA from 1 species
UACGUAGGUGGCAAGCGUUGUCCGGAUUUACUGGGCGUAAAGAGCGCGCAGGCGGUUAUUCAAGUCGAAUGUGAAAGCCCCCCGGCUUAACUGGGGGAGGGUCAUUCGAUACUGUUUAACUUGAAGGCAGGAGAGGGUAGUGGAAUUCCCGGUGUAGUGGUGAAAUGCGUAGAUAUCGGGAGGAACACCAGUGGCGAAGGCGACUACCUGGCCUGUUCUUGACGCUGAGGCGCGAAAGCUAGGGGAGCAAACGGGG